rfam:Schistosoma mattheei strain Denwood, Zambia genome assembly, scaffold: SMTD_scaffold0009772
UGCUUUUUGUAUCUGUACCGAGAUUUUGUCAGACACCAGGCCAUAAGUACUGAUGAGACUCAAGAUCAGUGAGGCG